GUGCAAAAUGGGUUAUACUUGUUCCCUAUAUUGAUCUCCAUCCAUGAACUUAAUCAACUGUUGUAUUUUAUUUACCGUUGAUUUUCUUGGUUGGUACAUUC